CCACAACAGCCAAAGCACAUCAAACAGAACAUAAGAAGAGAUCAACAUUACACAAGACUGACGCCCAGCUCAUCCUCCUACAGCUUUAGCACCCGCCAUCUGGCGCUCAAGAAAUAUCGCAUAAACACAUAUUUGAGAGAAUUAAUUAGGCUAUCGACUCAGAGCUGCAGUAGAAUAAUAAAAAGCGUGAUAUAGUUGUCAUAUAUUACUGACGUUUGUAGGUCAUCUUCCGUGCUCAAGAUAACAAGGUCCUGUUUGCUGUAGUUUCCGCGAGAGCUCUGGCAGACAUAAUGGUUGUUCCCACCCCCAGUACUUUUGACACAUUGUUUCCACUGGAGUACUCCCACAACCUCAUCCAUGACUCCGGCGCUAUUCGCAUCAGGCGGUCGGUGAGGAGUGAGGCGCCGAGGACGGUCAGCUACU